rnacentral:rRNA from 1 species
AUUGAACGCUGGCGGCAUGCCUAACACAUGCAAGUCGAACGGCAGCACAGUAUGUAGCAAUACAUAUGGGUGGCGAGUGGCGGACGGGUGCGUAAUAUGUAGGGAUCUGCCCUGAAGCGGGGGACAACCCGGGGAAACCCGGGCUAAUACCGCAUAAUACUCUACGGAGGAAAUCUGGCACGCAAGUGCUGGGGCUUUAGGAUGAACCUACAUCCGAUUAGCUAGUUGGUGAGGUAAUAGCUCACCAAGGCAAUGAUCGGUAGCUGGUCUGAGAGGAUGACCAGCCACACUGGGACUGGGACACGGCCCAGACUCCUACGGGAGGCAGCAGUGGGGAAUAUUGGACAAAGGGGGUAACCCUGAUCCAGCAAUGCCGCGUGGGUGAAGAAGGCCUUCGGGUUGUAAAGCCCUUUAGGCGGGGAAGAAGGUUAUAGGGUGAUAAGCCUUAUAGCUUGACGGUACCCGCAGAAUAAGCACCGGCUAACUCUGUGCCAGCAGCCGCGGUAA